UAACAUAUGCUUGUCUCAAAGACUAAGCCAUGCAUGUCUAAGUAUAAACGACUUUAUACUGUGAAACUGCGUACAGCUCAUUAUAUCAGCAAUUAUUUAUUUGAUGGUUCCUUACUACAUGGAUAACCGUGGUAAUUCUAGAGCUAAUACAUGCGCAAAGUCCCGACUCUCGCGGGGAGGGAUGUAUUUAUUAGAUUCAAAACCAAUGCGGGCUCUGCCCGGUAUUGUGGUGAUUCAUAAUAACUGAUCGAAUCGCAUGGCUUCACGCUGGCGAUAGU
rnacentral:rRNA from 1 species